UCACUGAAACACUGGUUCUCAUAUGAUCACUGAAGCAACACUGAGCCUGGUCAGUACCUAGAUGGGGGACCAUUUGGGAAUACCAGGUGCAGUA